rnacentral:rRNA from 1 species
CGUAAAGAACUUGCCUCACAGAUAGGGAUAACAUUUGGAAACGAAUGCUAAUACCUGAUAUUAUGAUUUUAGGGCAUCCUAGAAUUAUGAAAGCUAUAUGCGCUGUGAGAGAGCUUUGCGUCCCAUUAGCUAGUUGGAGAGGUAACAGCUCACCAAGGCGAUGAUGGGUAGCCGGCCUGAGAGGGUGAUCGGCCACAAGGGGCUGAGACACGGCCCUU